GAAAGGCACCACGAGAGUCAUGCUGUCUCCUUUCUCUAAUCAGUGAAACUAAUCUCCCCGUGAAGAAGCGGGAAUAAAAAUAUAAGACGAGAAGACCCUAUGGAGCUUAAAACAAAUAACACUUGCCCCCCCAACUUCUAAUUUCAGAAAAAUUUUCUACCCAGGCAUCAUGAUUAUUAGUUUUCGGUUGGGGUGACCACGGAGUAAAAAACAACCUCCGCAAUGAAAGACACUCAUCUACUUAAUCAAGGGCCACAACCCCACACAUCAACAAAUUGACACUAAUUGACCCGACAUGUUGAUCAAUGAACCAAGUUACCCUAGGGAUAACAGCGCAAUCCACUUCAAGAGCUCCUAUCGACAAGUGG
rnacentral:rRNA from 1 species